GACGAACGCUGGCGGCGUGCCUAAUACAUGCAAGUCGAACGCAGUGGGGACGGGUGAUUAACACGUGGGUAACCUACCAUCAGAGUGGAUAACACUUGGAUACAGGUGCUAAACCGAUACUGAUGGAUGGACCCGCGGUGCAUUAGCUAGUUGGUGGGGUAACGGCUCAACAAGGCCAAUGUGCAUAGCCGAUCUGAGAGGGUGAUCAGCCACACUGGGACUGUGACAUGGUCCAGACUCCUACGGGAGGCAGCAGUAGGGAUUCUUCGGCAAUGGACGCAAGCCUGACAGAGCAACCCCGCGUGUAUGAAGAAGGUUUUCGGAUCGUAAAACUCUUUUGUUAGAGAAGCGUUAUCUAACCAGGAAGCCACGGAUAACUACGUGCCAGCAGCCGCGGUAAUAC
rnacentral:rRNA from 1 species